rnacentral:rRNA from 1 species
GUCUAAGCAGUGAGAUUGAGUGUAGGUAAUCGGACACUCUUAAGAUUGAGCUGUGAUGGGGAGAGGAAAUUGUUUCCUCGAGUCGUUGAUUUCACACUGCCGAGAAAAGCCUCUAGAUAGAGAUUAGGUGCCCGUACCGCAAACCGACACAGGUAGUCAAGAUGAGAAUUCUAAGGUGAGCGAGCGAACUCUCGUUAAGGAACUCGGCAAAAUGACCCCGUAACUUCGGGAGAAGGGGUGCUCUUUAGGGUGCAAGCCCAGAAGAGCCGCAGUGAAUAGGCCCAAGCGACUGUUUAUCAAAAACACAGGUCUCUGCUAAACCGUAAGGUGAUGUAUAGGGGCUGACGCCUGCCCGGUGCUGGAAGGUUAAGAGGAGUGGUUAGCUUCUGCGAAGCUACGAAUCGAAGCCCCAGUAAACGGCGGCCGUAACUAUAACGGUCCUAAGGUAGCGAAAUUCCUUGUCGGGUAAGUUCCGACCCGCACGAAAGGCGUAACGAUUUGGGCACUGUCUCAACGAGAGACUCGGUGAAAUCAUAGUACCUGUGAAGAUGCAGGUUACCCGCGACAGGACGGAAAGACCCCGUGGAGCUUUACUGUAGCCUGAUAUUGAAAUUCGGCACAGCUUGUACAGGAUAGGUAGGAGCCUUUGAAACGUGAGCGCUAGCUUACGUGGAGGCGUUGGUGGGAUACUACCCUAGCUGUGUUGGCUUUCUAACCCGCACCACUUAUCGUGGUGGGAGACAGUGUCAGGCGGGCAGUUUGACUGGGGCGGUCGCCUCCUAAAAGGUAACGGAGGCGCUCAAAGGUUCCCUCAGAAUGGUUGGAAAUCAUUCAUAGAGUGUAAAGGCAUAAGGGAGCUUGACUGCGAGACCUACAAGUCGAGCAGGGUCGAAAGACGGACUUAGUGAUCCGGUGGUUCCGCAUGGAAGGGCCAUCGCUCAACGGAUAAAAGCUACCCCGGGGAUAACAGGCUUAUCUCCCCCAAGAGUUCACAUCGACGGGGAGGUUUGGCACCUCGAUGUCGGCUCAUCGCAUCCUGGGGCUGUAGUCGGUCCCAAGGUUGGGCUGUUCGCCCAUUAAAGCGGUACGCGAGCUGGGUUCAGAACGUCGUGAGACAGUUCGGUCCCUAUCCGUCGUGGGCGUAGGAAAUUUGAGAGGAGCUGUCCUUAGUACGAGAGGACCGGGAUGGACAUACCUCUGGUGUACCAGUUGUCGUGCCAACGGCAUAGCUGGGUAGCUAUGUAUGGACGGGAUAAGUGCUGAAAGCAUCUAAGCAUGAAGCCCCCCUCAAGAUGAGAUUUCCCAACUUCGGUUAUAAGAUCCCUCGAAGAUGACGAGGUUAAUAGGUUCGAGGUGGAAGCGUGGUGACACGUGGAGCUGACGAAUACUAAUCGAUCGAAGACUUAAUC